rnacentral:rRNA from 1 species
UGGGGAAUUUUGGACAAUGGGCGAAAGCCUGAUCCAGCAAUGCCGCGUGUGUGAAGAAGGCCUUCGGGUUGUAAAGCACUUUUGUCCGGAAAGAAAUCCUUGGCUCUAAUACAGUCGGGGGAUGACGGUACCGGAAGAAUAAGCACCGGCUAACUACGUGCCAGCAGCCGCGGUAAUACGUAGGGUGCAAGCGUUAAUCGGAAUUACUGGGCGUAAAGCGUGCGCAGGCGGUUUGCUAAGACCGAUGUGAAAUCCCCGGGCUCAACCUGGGAACUGCAUUGGUGACUGGCAGGCUAGAGUAUGGCAGAGGGGGGUAGAAUUCCACGUGUAGCAGUGAAAUGCGUAGAGAUGUGGAGGAAUACCGAUGGCGAAGGCAGCCCCCUGGGCCAAUACUGACGCUCAUGCACGAAAGCGUGGGGAGCAAACAGGAUUAGAUACCCUGGUAGUCCACGCCCUAAACGAUGUCAACUAGUUGUGGGGAUUCAUUUCCUUAGUAACGUAGCUAACGCGUGAAGUUGACCGCCUGGGGAGUACAGUCGCAAGAUUAAAACUU